AUUGAACGCUGGCGGCAGGCCUAACACAUGCAAGUCGAACGGUAGCACAGAGAGCUUGCUCUCGGGUGACGAGUGGCGGACGGGUGAGUAACGUCUGGGAAACUGCCCGAUGGAGGGGAUAACUACUGGAAACGGUAGCUAAUACCGCAUAACGUCGCAAGACCAAAGUGGUGGGACCUUCGGGCCUCACACCAUCGGAUGUGCCCAGAUGGGAUUAGCUAGUAGGUGGGGUAAUGGCUCACCUAGGCGACGAUCCCUAGCUGGUCUGAGAGGAUGACCAGCCACACUGGAACUGAGACACGGUCCAGACUCCUACGGGAGGCAGCAGUGGGGAAUAUUGCACAAUGGGCGCAAGCCUGAUGCAGCCAUGCCGCGUGUAUGAAGAAGGCCUUCGGGUUGUAAAGUACUUUCGGCGGGGAGGAAGGCGGUGAAGUUAAUAGCUUCACCGAUUGACGUUACCCGCAGAAGAAGCACCGGCUAACUCCGUGCCAGCAGCCGCGGUAA
rnacentral:rRNA from 1 species